UAUAUGCAUAGAAAAAGAGAGAGAGAUAUACGAAAUAGAUGGUUAGUUAGAUUCAAAUGAUUUGAAUUAAAGAUUUGUUUUUAUUAUAAAAUAGUAUUUUUAAAAUAGUUUUAAGAGGAUAGUUAGUUAGGUUAUACUAAGGAAAACGUCUAAUACUACUCACAUUGAAAACCUAUUCUGCCUCUUCUCCUCCAUAUUGUGCUACCUUCACAUUCCAAAAUUCUUAUGUUCUCAUUUCAUUCCAGCCAAAUACACACCUAAAAUCAUCACCACCUUCUCCUUGUGUAGUACAUCAUCAACCGUAAGGGUGAAUAUGAUUCUAAGACUUUGGGAAAAUCAAAGGAUAGCAAAAAGAAUAAAAGUGUUCGAGUGAUUUGAAUGGUUGAUCGAGUGUUGGAAAUCACAAUUCGAAAUCCCUGCCACCUCAAUCAUUCGUUGGGUAGUAGUGACGAGAUAACAAGUCUUAAGCAGCGGGAUUUGAGGUAUUAGACAGGGAAGUAUGUAUAGUGAGCAGGGUCAGUUCUGGUAUGUAUACUGUGAGCGGCUACGGGCGGACAAACGAUCUUGAACGCCGGUGGUGCCUUAGUUUUAUUUUAAGCAGUUGAUAAAUCUAACACAGUGGAAAUGCAUUAUUUAAAAUUAUUUACUUACUGUAUCUUGUUUUACAAAUGAAGGAUCAUUCUCUGUUGCAUUUUGAUUUUUUUUAAAAUCCACUGUUGUAUUUAAAUUAUUUUUUUUUUAUCUUUUCAAAUUAUGCAUGAAAAUAGUAUUUUUGUAAAAUAAGGCAAAAUAUCGGGGCGUUACAGUUGGUAUCAGAGCCGAUCGUCCGUUAGCCCGAAGGAUACUCACGGUAUACAUACAGAAGACUGAAAAAGAUCCAUCUCACUAUUAUGUAAGUGUUAGUAUUAAUUUUCUUGGUAUUGCCAUUAAUAGUCUUAUAUGUGAUACAUAUAAUUAGAGCCUCAUCUUAGGUGGUGCUUAGAGACAUCAAUAGUACCCUCUAUCUCUUAUGAUUGAUUACACUUUUUAGGAAGAAGAUGUAUAGGUUUAUAUUUCUUUAUUGUCUUGAAUUGAACUAGGAAGGACCGUGUUCCUUUCUUGAAAAUUUAGAAUAAAUUAUAUUAGGAGUUCAUAAGACUUUAUUUGAUAAAUAGAAUAUUACUAGUUAAGCUUGACAACAUUAAGUUUAGAUAUGUACAUAGAAUCUUCUCUUCCAAUAAUUGAACUCUUUUGUUUCUUUUAAAUCAACCUUUCUUGUAAGAGCUCACACAUGAAACUAGAAGAUCAGUUAGAAUCAAUGUGAAAGGAACGACCAAUAGAGGUGGGGGCUAAGGAUGUGUGUUCCGCUGACCCACAGAUGGUUGAUGUUCCAGAGAACCCAAUAAUAGUUAAGGCUAACGAUCUAAUAGAGGUAUUGGAAGGACUACGAGCAUGACUAAGACAAUUUGUUGAAGAGUUUUCACAGGCUCAGCAAAAUAUCACCAACACUAGUAGUGGAACUUGAAGCACAUAAUGAAAUGUACCAAUAGCCAACUAAGUACCGACGCAUAUAUUUUCACCUAUCUAUGAAUGGUUGAAGAAGCGGUCUCUACACCUAGCCAUGAAUGGAAGCCCAACAUAUAGGAAGUAGGGAUGACUUAGAAUAGUAGACGUUAUACCAGACUGGGACAGUAUAAUUUACGAAAACCUACUUAUUAAGAAGGAUGAAAUAAUAGAUCUUUAAGGAGAAGGUACUAUCUUGUUGGAUAUUCUAUAAGUUACACACUCCUAAGUUAGAUGGUAAGAAGUAUGAGUACUGUAUGCAAAGACAUUGGAGAUAAGUAUGUUAUAGAAAUGAGUCAGGAGAGGACGAUGCCAUCAUAUAGAAAGGAGUGUAGUGUGCUGAAUAGAAUCCAAAAUGAGAAGUUAGAAAGAGACAUGAUAAAAUUACUAGAGGUAAUAACUUAUGAAGGUAUCUUAAACACUAAGAGAUAAGCAGAGCAUCAACAAAUAUUAGAUUAUCGAAGGAAAGUUGUAAACUUUAAACUCAAGGUCAUCUACUUGGUGGAGGAGAUAAUAGAGAAAAAUGUGUAUGGUUUUGACAGAGGCAUUUUCAAAGGAGAAAGACAAAAAAAAGUCCAGGCACGGCUAACAAUUUGGGUACAACAUAAAUGAGAGACAACUAAGAGGGUGACUACUCGGAAUUGAUCACAACUACACAACUAAGAGAUUGUGGAUGCAGCUUUGUGGCGGGUGUACAACAAACAACUAUAGAGAGUAGAUCGCAAAUUCAAAACUUGAGAAAGAGGAGGAAUUAGCAUUCAAGGGUGACAUCCCUAGAUUCCAAAUACUCACUGAUACAACAACAAUGGUGUGGAGUAUAGCUCAAUGAGAAAAUGUUAGGAAAGCCUCACUUAGAGACAGGAGAAAAGUGAGACACAAUUAGGACCAAAGUAACAUAUAUUGAAGAAUGUCAUGGCAUGUCAAGGACCAUACAAGUUUUUGAUAAGUGUUGGGAUUAGAAAAUACACUCAUGCAACAUAAAGGAAUUCAAGGCACAACGUAAGCAAAGGAUACUACAAUCCAAUUACGGCUUAUAUUAUGGGCAAUAGUAUAAGUAUGUUGGAGUGUCAUCUAAUGAGAAACUAAGAGGAAAACUCACAAAGUCCAGCCCUGCUGAAAAGAGAUGGUGUUUCUAGGCCCUAUAGUGCCCGAGAAGAAAAUGACUAUGGAUUUGUCAAAAGCUAAAAUUGUUAAGAGCAAAAAAAAAAGGAAAAAUAUUAAAUAUUUUUCUCAAUCUAAAAAGGCAGUAAUAGAGAUCUUUGGAAGGACUCUCUCAAGCUGACAAUAACUAACUUAUUGCACACUACUAAGUCUUGUCCAAUUGAAAGUGCAAAAGUUAGAAGAAGAAAAAAAAAACAAGAUAGGUAUUGAUAAUUUGGUGGCAUUUGGAUGAAAAAUGAGACGCUUGAACGAAUUAUUGACUUGUGCUUAAAGGUAGUAUGUGAAGUAAGAAUAAAAAAUUCCUGACUAAGGAAUUAUAAAUAGUGAGUCUCUAGUAAUAAAUUAAAUACAAGUAGGGGUAUAGGAGGUAUAAUAGUGAUGGACAGAGUAAGGUCUGUUCGGCAUAGUUUGCAAAUUAUAUAUAGUAUCCUUACCCUGAUAACUUGGCUGAUCAAUACAUUGUGAGAUUGGUAUGGUUGACUUAUUGUUAAAAGUCAACAUAUAAUAAAUAGUUAGGCUACGAUAAGCCAUGGUAGGGUUGAACUUAUUUUAAAAGGGUUAUUAGUGUGCUUUCUAUGUUUUAAUACAUAUAUGGUAUAGUCUUAAGUAAAUAAUCAGUAUUGGAAUGUAUGUUUAAGAGAUUUAAAAGUUUUAGAAGUACAAUUAAGAAGAUAUUUUUUUGGUGAAUUAAAGAAGGCUACAAUAUACAGGGCAUGAAUAUGGCUGGAAUGAUCAAUGCUAUGAUAAGUAUGAAAUUAUGUGAUACCUUAGAUGGCUAGUAUAUUAGAAGAAGCAAUCAUUGAACAUAACUAUCAGAAUCUAUCGGCAUUACAGAUUCAAAGUUCACCACUAUAGCAAGAUAAUACCAAAGUAGACAAAAGUUAUUGUGUAAAACUAGCUAAUCUCAUAAUUAAGUCGACUUGAUUGGAAGAGCAUUGGAGGACCAGGAACCAGAGGAGAGAUUAGCAAAGAAGAUACAAUAGAGUGAUACAAGAAUCAAGAGAUUGAAAAAAAAAGGAAUCAAAGAUUAUACUAUACGAGAAAUAGAAGGAAGGACAAGUGCAAUGAACAUACGACUAAAUGAAACUAAAAAGCGAGCUCAUACUGAGUGGUGGCUGAAUGGAUCAUUAAAAUUAUAUAAGGAAUUAUAAAGGGCCUGAAUGCUUUUUCUCAGUGUUAUGGGAACAAGUAUCUAUAACUGAUAAAGUAACAGCUAUGAAACUAUAGGUGACACCGUGACUCUAUGGUGGGAAUUAAUAAGUAGAAAAUCAAGCUUCUCGUAUGUAGUAACAUUCAAAGGAAGAGUAUGAAUAGUAAAGAGAAGUUAGCAUAAAGUUUUCUACCCUACAAUUUAUUGUAUGUUAUUUUUUUUUUAUUGUAUAGCGUAUUCUCAAGUGACGUGUAAGGAUGUUCAUAAGAGAAUAAAUAGUUUGUCUCUUAAUGGCAUGUAAGGAUGUUCAUAAGAGAAUAAAUAGUUUUACUCUUAAUGGCGUUUACGGACGUUCAUAAAAGAAGAAAAACUUUUAUAAUAUUACGGGCAUGAUAUUGCAAAACUUAUGUAAAGAAUAUAUUUAUAAAUUACCAUUAUUUAAAUUAUGAUAGAUUAUGUUUUGUUAUUUAAGUAAUGUAUAGAGGAAUAACAAUAUUUAAAUUAAGUUGUAUAUGUUAUACAUGUUAUGGUUUGACUGGUAAGGAAAGAUUAAAUACUUGUCUUUGGGUCCACAUGGUAGAUAGAAAGGCAACAUAUUGGUAAAUGAGAUAAAGGCCUAAUACUCUCAGUGUUUGAAAAGUAAAAUUUCGAGGACGAAAUUUCUUUUAAGGAGGGUAGAAUGUAAUAUCCAAUUUAAGUAUGUU